rnacentral:rRNA from 1 species
UACGAAGGGGGCUAGCGUUGCUCGGAAUUACUGGGCGUAAAGGGCGCGUAGGCGGAUAGUUUAGUCAGAGGUGAAAGCCCAGGGCUCAACCUUGGAACUGCCUUUGAUACUGGCUAUCUUGAGUUCGGGAGAGGUGAGUGGAAUGCCGAGUGUAGAGGUGAAAUUCGUAGAUAUUCGGAAGAACACCAGUGGCGAAGGCAGCAGAUUGGGCCGGUAUUGACGCUCAGGCACGAAAGCAUGGGGAUCAAACAGG